rnacentral:lncRNA from 1 species
CUCCAUCAGACAUCCCAGUCGAGCUUCAGCCGACAGAUCCGAACUCUCUGGCAAGUCACGACAAUGGCUGCUACCUUACCCCACACUCUGUAACAGAUUUCAUGCGGCUCCACCACUCUCUGGCAAGCCACGACAAGGGCCACUACCUUACUCCACUCUCUGACAAGUCACGAUAAUGGAUACCACUCCACUCUCCGUAACAAACUCCACGUGGCCCUGAACGGCCCCUGACGCCACUAUUCUCCGUAACAAACUUCGCAUGGCUCUGAACGACCCACUACAAGGUAGUUAUAGACGUCACUGUCAAUCAGUUAUGCUCUCCGUCUAUAAAAAGGGACCCC